rnacentral:rRNA from 1 species
AUUGAACGCUGGCGGCAUGCUUUACACAUGCAAGUCGAACGGCAGCGCGGGCUUCGGCCUGGCGGCGAGUGGCGAACGGGUGAGUAAUGCAUCGGAACGUGCCCAGUAGUGGGGGAUAGCCCGGCGAAAGCCGGAUUAAUACCGCAUACGACCUGAGGGUGAAAGCGGGGGACCGAAAGACCUCGCGCUAUUGGAGCGGCCGAUGUCGGAUUAGCUAGUUGGUGGGGUAAAGGCUUACCAAGGCGACGAUCCGUAGCUGGUCUGAGAGGACGACCAGCCACACUGGGACUGAGACACGGCCCAGACUCCUACGGGAGGCAGCAGUGGGGAAUUUUGGACAAUGGGGGCAACCCUGAUCCAGCCAUGCCGCGUGCGGGAAGAAGGCCUUCGGGUGGUAAACCGCUUUUGUUCGGGAAGAAAUCCUCUGGGCUAAUACCCCGGGGGGAUGACUGUACCGGAAGAAUAAGCACCGGCUAACUACGU